rnacentral:rRNA from 1 species
AUGAAGCUGGAAUUGCUGUAAUGGCAGGUCAGCAUACUGCCGUGAAUACGUUCCCGGGCCCUUGUACACACCGCCCGUCACACCAUGAGAGUUGGGAAUACCCGAAGCCUGUGAGCUAACUGUAAAGAGGCAGCAGUCGAAGGUAGAAUCAAUGAUUGGGGUGAAGUCGUAACAAGGUAGC